rnacentral:rRNA from 1 species
AGCGGCGGACGGGUUAGUAACGCGUGGGAACGUACCCAGAUCUACGGAAUAGCCUCGGGAAACUGAGAGUAAUACCGUAUACGCCCUUCGGGGGAAAGAUUUAUCGGAUUUGGAUCGGCCCGCGUAAGAUUAGAUAGUUGGUGGGGUAAUGGCCUACCAAGUCUACGAUCUUUAGCUGGUUUGAGAGGAUGAUCAGCAACACUGGGACUGAGACACGGCCCAGACUCCUACGGGAGGCAGCAGUGGGGAAUCUUAGACAAUGGGCGCAAGCCUGAUCUAGCGAUGCCGCGUGAGUGAUGAAGGCCUUAGGGUCGUAAAGCUCUUUCGCCUGUGAAGAUAAUGACGGUAGCAGGUAAAGAAACCCCGGCUAACUCCGUGCCAGCAGCCGCGGUAAUACGGAGGGGGUUAGCGUUGUUCGGAAUUACUGGGCGUAAAGCGCACGUAGGCGGACUAGUCAGUCAGAGGUGAAAUCCCAGGGCUCAACCCUGGAACUGCCUUUGAUACUGCUAGUCUUGAGUUCGAGAGAGGUAAGUGGAAUUCCGAGUGUAGAGGUGAAAUUCGUAGAUAUUCGGAGGAACACCAGUGGCGAAGGCGGCUUACUGGCUCGAUACUGACGCUGAGGUGCGAAAGUGUGGGGAGCAAACAGGAUUAGAUACCCUGGUAGUCCACACCGUAAACGAUGAAUGCCAGACGUCGGGUA